AAGCAGGUGUUAAUUUGUUCCGCCGCUCGAGUUCGCAUAGGCUGCGUCCGUAAAUUUUCCGCCAAUUCGCAUCGCAUCGCACUCACUAUGUCAUCGGCCUAAGUCAUCCAAGCAGGCUUUGACCUUUUUUUCGCAACGCUAACCAACCACAACUUCAUAGAAGCAGCACAGUUCGGCAGGAAUAGGACGCGAAAAUCAUCAGCUGCGCAAAUUUCACGUUCUUUUCUAGAAAAAUUCAUACGAGAAAACGUCGAACCAUAUGUGUGCGCCGAGUGAGAAUGGGUUUCUUAGAUUCCAAAAUAUGGCCGACUGCCAGUUGGGAGAAUCGUGGUCGAUGCAAAAAACAGCAGAAUUUAUUUUUUCAAACUUGUGCCGACUAUGCUGUUACACACAGGAUAGUUCUUGCAACCAGUGACUCCGGACGCCAGUUCAAGGGAAAUUCGAAGGACGUGCCUCACACGGAAUCGCGCUGAUAAUCAAUGUUCCGGAUAUCAGCAAGAAUGAAGGCAGUCGAAAAACAUUGGAUUCAAUGUGUAAUGAUCGGAUGCAAUCGACGUGACCAGGGCGAUUGAUAAAAUAAAAAAUCAGAUCUUGAUCUGAAGAAACCCGUGUUUAUUGAAAAUAAAUUAUGUUUAACUUUUCGUGAUCUUGAAAAUGAAUAAAAAGUAUAAUUCUAACCAA